rnacentral:lncRNA from 1 species
CCCCCAAUUCACCAAAAGGGAAAACUAGCUAGGGUUCAAAGUUCUAUGGAUAGAGUGUUCUUCAAACUCUCAUCAUUAGCAGGUAUGUGGAAUAAUAAAAAAUCGAUGGGGGUUUUAAUCUAUAUUCUUUUAAAACUUUUUAGUGUUUAAAUUAUGGGGUUCAAUUUAACUACAAGAACAUGUCUUCAAAUUCACACUUAUUCCUUAAUUAUGAAUUUUUGCUAAGUAUAUAUAUUAUAUUGUGAUUGGUGAAGAGAACGAAGUUUUUUUUUUGGCAAUGAACAGUGAAGUAUUACCAUACCAACAAAAUAAAAUCGAACAUACACUUAGGGAUCACUUACAACCCUACCUCUUCUAGUAAGGAAGUUAGACUGGGUGAGCCUUAAAGAUCUAUGUACAAGUACUGUCUUCUAAGUAUUUGACAUAUUUAGCUCUCUUGUCAUCUCUAUACCUAUUCAGUCUCUCCGUAAGAACAAAUUUGACUUGUUGUAUAAUCAUGCUGUGAGGUAUAGCCUGCUGUGUAAAGAUUUUCAAAUUCCUAGCUCUCCAAAUGUGAUAUAUGAAGGCCCCAUAAGCUACAACCAUCAUCUCUUUCUUUUUUUGCAUCAGUGUCUACGAUUGAUGUGCAAUAGAGUGUACUUUAUCCUUCCCUAAUAUAUCCUUAAUCCCAUCUGUUGUUGCACCAGGUUCCACAGAUCUUUUCUCCCUGAGCAUUUAAUAAACAAGUGUUUUGCAUCUUUCAAUACAUCUGUAUCACAUAAGCAACAAUCGGGGCUGUCACAAUGAAUUCCCAUACCACAUAAUCUGUCCUUUGUGAGUAGUUUUUCUUGUGCUGCUAACCACAUUAUAAAUCUUUAUUUGAGUAGGCUGAUACCAGUCCAUACCAAUGUUGCAAUAGGAUCACGCAAAACUGGGCCUAAUAAGGCUAAAUAGCUUUGCAUUGUUGAGUAUUUAGCAUUUGUUGUUAGACAAUAUUUUCCUCCUUGGUACCAGUCCCCCAUUUUCAAUUUGAGCUUGUGAAAGUUCCUCCAAUACCAGCUGCUAUCAGCUGGUGGUUGACAUGUCCAGAAAUUUACUCCAUUAUUCAUAUAAACACUAUGUAUCCAUUUUACCCACAAAAUAUCCUUCUUUUCCAUGAUCAACCAAAUAAAUUUUCCUACAAGUGCGAUAUUCCACAAUUUACAGCUACUAAUAUUCAAUCCUCCUUGAUAUUUGGGUCUGCAUAGUGUUUCCCAAGCUACCAGAUGAACCCUCUUGUUCUUCUCAUUACUCCCCCAUAAAAAAUCCCUACACAACUUAUCCACCUCCUUCAACACCUCCUGAGGAAAGAUGAAUACUGACCCCCAGAAGUUAUGUAUUAAAAAUAUUACAGACUGUAUAAGUUGUAUUCUCCCUGCGUAAGAUAAAUGCCUGGUAGAAGCUACUCUGAUUCUGCAAGUAAUUUUCAAACAUAGCUGAUGGCAUUCCAUUUUUGUCCACUUUUUAGGUGAUAAGGGAAGUCCCAGAUACCUAAUAGGAAAAGAUCCCACUGUAAACCCUAUAAUGUAAAUAAUUUUUUCCUUAACAGCAUCCUUGAUACCUGGCACAAAAAUGUUAGACUCGUCUAUAUUGGCAACAAGUCCAGUAAUAUUCAAAAAGUGGUUCAAGGCUUUCAUUAUUCUCCUAACUAAGGCCUCAUUGCCUUUACAAAAUAUCAUCAGAUCAUCGGCGAAGGUAAGAUGUGUCAACUUCAAUUCCUUGCACAUGGGAUGAUAUUUAAAGUUAGGCAAGUUUCUUAUUUUGUGAAGGAUUCUAGCAAGGUAUUCCAUAACCAACACAAACAACAAGGGGGAGAUGGUAUCUCCUUGUCGCAAACCUGUUCUACCCUCAAAAUAUCCAUAACUAUCUCCAUUUAAUUUAAUUGAAAACUUGGUUGUAGUCACACAUAGCAUAAUUAGUUGCCUAAACUUCUCAGGGUACCCAUAUCCGCAGAGCAUUUCCUUGAUGAAUUCCCAUGUAAUCAUAUCAUACGCCUUUCUUAAAUCGAUCUUCAUAAGACAUCUUGGACUUAUUUUCCUGUUGUACUGCCUCAAUAAGUUGUGGCACAUAAGGAUAUUAUAAAUCAAGGACCUGUCUUGGAUAAAUGCAGCUUGUGUGUCCUGUACUAAGGAUGGCAGUACAACUUUUAAUCUCUUGCAAAUUAUUUUAGACACACAUUUAUAGACUACGUUGAAACACACAAUGGGUAUAUAUUGACUAGGAUUGUUAGGACACUCCACCUUAGGUAUCAAAGUAAUACUUGUAGCAUUAAGUUGAUGUAUCAUCUUGCCAGUUCUGAACACCUCCAACACUAAAUCAGUUAUGAGGUCACCAGUUAUUGCCCAAGUACUUUGGAAAAAACCACUUCUAUAUCUAUCCAGCCAGGGCUGCUGUUUGGGUUAAUCCCAAACAUAGCUUCCUUGACAUCUUCCCUAGUAAAUCCCUGCAAUAAUUCCACCUGUUGUUCUACAGUUAAGGUAUGUCCAUAAGUCAAAAAACCUUCAGAAGCAAGCUUCCUUGGACCUCCAGUUUCUCCCAUCAUUGCAGAGUAGUAUCUCACAAAGACUUCAGCCACAUCCUUAAGAUCUGUCACCACCUUUUUAUUCUCAUCAGUUUUGCAUCACAAUUUGCAUCAAUCUCUUUUGCUUUAGAAUUGAGUAAAAAUAUUUGGUAUUGUCAUCACCAAGCUUCACCCAUUUAGCCUUGCUACUUUGCACCAGCAUCACUUCUGCAAGAUAGCUUGAUCUUUUAAAUUUCAGAUCAAUCUUUUCUUGACACUGUUUAAGCAUUUUUCUAUCUUUAUUUGCUUCAUUUAUCAUGUUACCGAAGUGGUGAGUGCAGACUCCUGAGUUUGUGUUUCAAGUACUUUAAUUUACCUAUAAUUUGAUACAUCUUACAUCCUAUACCAGGUUGCUGCCAACCACUUUUAACUAACCUCGUAAAGUCAGGAUGCAUGCUCCAAGCAUUACAGUAUUUGAAUGGUUUCCUUGUUCUUGUAUCUUGAGAAGCCAAUGUCAAGUAAGUAGGACUAUGAUCACUCAUCUCUCCAGCCAAAUAUUGUACUUUACAAGUAGGUGUGAUCUAACCACUCACUACUAGCAAAGGUACAGUCCAGUUUUGAAAAAAUUAUAUUUGUUGCAUGUCUAGCAUUCCAGGUGUAAUUACAGCCUAGUAUAGGUUGGUCAAUCAACCCACACCGAUCUACAAUUUCUUGGAAAUCCUUCAUCUCUGGGAUGGUCGCCGGGUUCCCACCUAUCCUGUUCUUCAUAUAUAGCACAACACUGAAAUCACUUGUGAUAAUCCAAGGCAGAGUAGUGCCUUAGAAUUAGGCUAGGUAAUUCCAUAGGUCCUACCUCUCUACUCUCUCAUUGUACCCAUACACUAUAGUAAGUAAAAACUGCGUAAAUACAAGUAUAUGCUCCACCUUGCAGGUUAAUGCUUGGGAAGAUUCACUACGUACUGUCACUUUGUAAUUAUUCUCCUUCCAUAAUAACUAAAUCCUCCUGUUGUAGUGGGAGGAAUGGUUUGUAAUGAACUUCCAACCUCCAAAGAUCUUAUCAGCCACCAUUUGUACUCUAUUUAAUUUUAUUUUAGUCUCUACAAGACCAACCAUUUCAGCUUUCAAAUCACCACAAAGGAGUUUCACCUCUUUCUAUUUUGAGAGGCCAUUAAGGCCUCUCACAUUCCAGCAUAGCAGCUUAACUAUCCCUCCAAGGGAUAGUAUUUUUCCCACCCCCAUGCUUGGCAGCAUUUUCCUACCUACUCUGACCUUUUUCUUCCCUGUUCAAACUUUGGAAAGUUUUAUCUACAUGUAUAGUAGUGGUAUGCACAACUUUAUUCUAGGAUGUUGAGCCAACAACCUUUUGGGUUUUUUUUAAUCCAUCAUUACUCGUCUUCAACAUCAAGUCUCCAGUGUCUUUAGGAGGUUGUACCUGAUGUUUUGGUUUUUUACAGAAUAUUUUACGCCUUUUUCUUAGUAUAAUUAUGUGUUUUCAAGUAGCCACUAUUGUAUUUAACAUGGUAUUUUAGUUCUUUCAGGAUAAGGACUGAGUGUGAAGGGUAACUAGGAGAAUCUGAGCAAAACAAAUUGUAAAAUAAACAGCGACGGCUUAGGUGAUGGACCGUUAACCUUGCGAUAAUUUGUCGGUUUAAAUUAUUGACCAAAAGUAGAAGGAAUAGCCUCUGGACAUCAUGCAACGGUCCAGACAAUGGACCGUCAGCCCUGCGAUGGGUCGUCGGUCUAAAUCGUCGCCAUGAUAUAGAACGCAUCAUCACUGGAAGUCCUAUGAUGGUCCAGGCGAUAGACUGUUGACUUUGCGAUGAGCCAUCGCACUACCCAUUGCCUUGAAAAAGAAUAUGGAGUCACUGGAAACCCAGCGAUGGUGUAGGAGAUGGACCGUCGGACCUGCAAUGAACCGUUGCCUGACCCGUUGAUCAAAACGCAGAGAAUCUGAGUUUGAAUUUUAAAACCCUAGUUCUGGAAUCAUAUAAAUAUCAAGUAUUAGGGUUUAUUCUGGAUAUUUUAUCUUUAGUUUCAUACUUUCUCCUCUAGUGAUAGCUUUGUACUACUUUUCAUUGGGAUUUGAAUCAAAAGAUUGAGAGUUGAUUAUUAGUUUUCAUAUUCUCCAUCAAAGAUUGAGAAGAACAAUAUUGCAACUUUUGUAAGUACUUUUCUGAAGUUAUUUAUGAACAAUCAAUAUACCUUUGAUUUCUUAUAUGGAGAUGAGUAGCUAAACUCCCAUAACUAGGGUUGUAGGAGCCUUGAUAUAGAGAACUAUUUUGGGGUUGUGAAUGGGUUUGAUUUCUAACAUCUAUCGAAAUUGCAUGAAUCCUUCUUCAUCUUAAUGACAUCUCUUGGUUGCAAACUUGAGAAGUGCGUCCUUCAACUCCACUUGUCUGAUAAGAAAGUGGAUGUUGGGAAAAGAAGUGAUUCACAUGAACUCCAUAGGUUUACCCUUUGGGUUAACGGGUUGAUGCCUUAACAGGAUCAAUCCUCAUGAUAUUGUUAUCGAAUAAUGCGUGAAUCCUUUAAGUUCGAGAGAAAUAAAGGGUGAAAUACUCAUUUGGUUCAGAAACGCAUAUGUAAUCCUUAGAAUUCAAUAAUUCUUGCGAUUGGAUACAUAAGUUAGAAUUCAAAAACAAACUCACAACCCUAAUUGUUUGAACAUCUUGGUGAGCAUAACUCUUGUCAAUUCAUUCUCCUUGAAAUUACAUCUACAUUUACUCUCAGUAGCUGGAAUUUGUGUAACACAAAUACAAAAGAACACUGUUAACAUUUCUAGACCCUCUUUAUUUUGGAACCUUAGAUCAACAGUCUAAUAACAAUCACAAUACUUAGUGAACACUGUAUUCCCUGUGGGAUUCGACAUCCAACCCAGUUGGGUUCUAUAUUUGAUAGCGACCGCUUACUCUCUCAUAAGAGAGGUGUAAUUUGGGUGUAUCAAAUUUUGGCACCAUUGCUGGGGAAUACGGUUGUCAAUUAAGUUUGUUUUUGUUAAUUGACCUUUGGUCAAGUUUCCCAAAUUUUGCUUUUGUUUGUUAUUUUUAUUUAUGUAGGGGAGUUGUUGUUUAUGCCAAGUACAUAGAGAUUAGGUGCACCAUUAUUACGAAUACAUCUGGAACCGUAACUUAUUGACAGAAUGAUAGAACCCCAAGAUGCUGAGAGACUAGCCGCAUUGGCUAGAUCUCAACUAAAUCAGUAUAAUGAUGGCCAACAUGCAUGUCAUCCUAAUCCUGAUGAUUAUGAUUUGGGAGAUGAUGACUUGUUUGAUCCUGCUAAUCAAAGACGUGCAGAGAAUCUACCUGCACCAAUGAACAAAAAAUAUGAACAAAAAUUAUCCUUUCAAGGCGAGACAUAAUCGUCAAGCUGUUCAAUUUAAUUUUAAUGAUGUUGAAGAUGGAAUGGACGAAGCUGGUGCCACUGGAGCUAUUAUUUCUCCACCUCUAGCACUAGGAGCAAAGUUCAAUAUUACCAGUAUAAUGAUCCAGCUCUUUCAUCUGAAGAGAUUGUUUGGUCGACUACCGGGAGAUGAUCCCAAUGUGUAUUUAGUGAAUUUUAUCACUAUUUGCAAGUCCUUUGAUAACUCGGGAGUGGGACAAAAUGCCAUCCGCCUACGUUUAUUUUUGUUUUCUCUAUCUGGAGAGGCAACAUUAUGGCUUAAUGAGCUGACACUUGAUUUUAUAACCAACUGGAAGCAAUUGAAAUAGGCUUUCCUAGAAAGGUUCUUUCAGCCUUCUAGAAAGGUAUAGUUGAGGGAUGAGAUCAGCAACUUAGGCAGUUUCCAACCAAAGCCCUUUAUGAGACAUGGGAAAGGUUAAAAAAAAAGCUGACUAGUGUCCAAAUCAUAAUAUGAUAGAUAUUUAUCUGAUGGAGACUCUUUAUUGGGCUUUGAACUCUAUGACGAAGCCAGUUUCUGAUAAUGCUACAGGGGGGAUCAUUUGUGGAUCUCACUUUUCAGGAGGCCUCGAAGAUGCUUGAUUGGAUGACCAAAUAAAGAAGACCUUGGCAUGCCAAGGAUUCUGUGGUAGCAACCCCUGCUGUGCCUAUUGGCAUGACUACGGAACAAUAUAAGAAAGAGGAAGAACAUGAUCAAGACAUGGCAUACUUGAGGACACAAAUGGAUUUGUUGAUCAAGUAUUUAUUAUCUGUAAAGACUGAAAAAGUAAAAGCUGUUGCAGCCAAAGGUAGAGAUACUUCUGAUUCAGAAGAAGUGGCUAACUAUUUGAAUAAUCAGGGGGGUUUUUUGAGGCAAUAGCCAAGGAAAUCAAGGUCGGAACUUCUACGACAAGGCUGGUUACAAGGAUAAGGAGCAAGGAAAUUGAAAAGGUAAGAAUGAUAGUAGUGGGCUAUAUGUACCUCCCGAAAGUAGAGAUAGUGCUGCAACUAACUCUGGCAAGAUGUCCAUAGAGGAACUAAUGGAGAAAUUAUUAAAGGGAGUUGAAGCUACCAAUUCUGAAGUGAAUACUAUAAAGAGCGAUUUAUCUUCUAUAAGUCAGUUGGUAAACUCGCACUCUACCUCUAUCAAGCAGUUAGAGCAACAAAUGAAAUAACUCUCAGCAGUGUUGAAUCAGAGGAAGACUGGAACAUUGCCAAGUGAUACCAUUCAGAAUCCAUGAAAUGAUGGUUCUUGCAUGACUAUCACUACUAGAAGUGGUAAGGUAUGGGAAGGCCCUCCUGUAGGUAAGCCCGUGAUUGAUAUUAUAGCCGAUAAUAUUGAAGAAGCAGUGAUUUUUCAUUUGAUAGAGUCUGGGAAAUCAAAUAAGGUCAUUGAUGACACACCAUCCAACAGUCAGCAAGUUGAUGAGUUAGAGAAGAAUAAGGGAAAGGAGGAUCAAGUGGUGAUUACCAUUCUUCCAAAACCACCUCCUUUAUUUUCUCAUCGGUUGAAGAAGAAGGCCGACGACACAAAGUUUAAAAAAUUCAUGGCUAUGAUAAAGUAGUUGAUGAUUAAUCUACCACUAGUGGAGGCAUUAUAACAAAUGCCCGAGUAUGCAAAGAUCAUGAAAGACCUCAUCACAAAGAAGCAGUCGGUUAGUUUUGAGCUGAUGGACAAUCUUUAUCAUUAUGGUGCUAUUUCCAUAAGGUAUCUGGUGUAAAAAAACAUAGAUCUGGGAGAAUUUACUAUCCUAUGCACUAUUGGACCUCUUGACUUCGUAAAAUCUCUGUGCGACUUGGGAGCUAGCAUCAAUCUGAUGCUGCUAGCUAUUUAUAAAAAAUUAGAUUUAAGAGACCCCACACCUACUAACAUGCAGCUUGUAAUGGUGGAUAGGUCGGUCAAAUAACCUGUUGGUAUUUUAUAUGAUAUGUUAGUAAAGAUUGCUAGUUUCAUAUUUCCUGCGGAUUUCAUCAUUAUGGAUUGGGAGGUGGAUUUUGAGGUUCCUAUAAUCUUGGGUCUACCUUUCCUCCCAGUUGAAAGUGUGCUGAUUGAUUUACAAGCUAAUGAGCUCUUAGUUAGGUUGAAUGAUAAAGUGGUGUAAUUUGAUAUGUGCCAAUCAAUGAAGCAAUAGAAAGAAAUGACUGUGUUUUCCAUUGUGGAUGUCUAUUAUGAGGAGGAGUAGGAAGUGUCAAUUGAAGAGAAAUUUGCUGUUGAAACAUUAGUUGUCGUAUUGAUAAAUUUUGAUCAGGAUGGUAUAGAGGAUUAUGAGGAGACUGUAUGUGCAUUAAAUGGCAUGGGGUCUUACUUAUAUGCUCCCAAGAGGUUGGACUUGGACUUAGAAAAUCAUCUAAGUCCACCUGCUAAGCCCUCUAUAGAAGAGCCACCUAUCCUAGAGCUGAAAGAGUUAACAAGUCAUUUGAGGUAUGUGUUCUUGGGGAGUGGGAAUACAUUACCUGUUAUUGUUGUAGAUGACCUAGGUGAGCAGAAGGUGGAAACACUUAUUUCGGUGCUUCAAUGAUACAAAAGAGCCAUAGCCUGGACUAUUGCUGACAUUAUUGGCAUUCCCUCUGGCAUCUGGACUCAUAAGAUACAACUUGAGGAAGAAUGUACUCCUACCAUUGAGCAUCAACGCUGUUUUAAUCCACUAAUGCAAGAGGUGGUUAAGAAGAAAAUUAUUAAGUGGCUAGAUGCAGAAGUGGUUUAUCCUAUUUCAGACAGUAAAUGUGUAAGCCCAGUUUAAUGUGUGCCCAAGAAAGGGGGCAUAACUGUUGUUAUACAUAAAAAGAACUAGUUGAUUCCUGUUAGGCCUGUGACUGGUUAGAGAGUUUCCAUGGACUACUGCAAACUAAACUCAUGGACUUUAAAGGACUACUUCCCAAUGCCCUUCAUGGAUCAAAUGCUUGAUCAGUUGGCAGGAAGGCCGUGGUAUUGUUUCUUGGAUGGAUAUUCUAGCUACAAUUAGAUCUGUAUUGCUCCUGAAGAUCAGGAGAAUACGACGUUCACAUACCCGUAUGGCACUUUUGUAUUCAAGUAGAUACCGUUUAGGUUAUGUAAUGCACCCGCUACCUUCUAAAGGUGUAUGAUGUCUAUUUUAUCAGAUAUGGUUGAGGACACCUUGGAGGUAUUCAUGGAUGAUUUUUCUGUGGUUAGAGAUUCAUUUGAGUUGUGUCUAGCUAACUUGAGUAGGGCUUUACAGAGGUGUGUGGAAUUCAAUCUUGUGCUUAAUUGGGAGAAAUGCCACUUCAUGGUGAAGGAGGGCAUUGUUCUCGGGCACAAAAUUUCAGCAAAAGGGAUAGAGGUCGAUUGAGCCAAAGUAGAAGUUAUUGAGAAGAUACCACCUCCCAUCUCGAUAAAAAGGGUGCGUAGUUUUCUUGGACAUGCUGGCUUUUACCGGAGGUUUAUAAAAGACCUCUCUAAAAUUGCAAAUCCACUUUGCAAACUUUUGGAGAAGGAAAUUAAGUUUUUCUUUGAUGCUGAAUACAUUAAGGCAUUUGAAUGCCUUAAGAGGAAGCUGGUUGAGGCCCCUAUCAUAGUUGCACCGGAUUGGUCAAAACCAUUUGAGCUAAUAUGUGAUGCAAGCGGUGUUGCCCUUAGAGCUGUGAUGGGGCAAAAGAAGGAAAAAUUAUUUCAUCCAGUUUAGUAUGCCAGCAAGGCACUGAAUGGAGCACAAAAAAACUAAACUGUCAUAGAGCAGGACUUCUAGUAGUGGUGUACGCUUUUGAGAAGUUUUGGGUGUAUUUUCUAGGUACCAAGGUUGUGGUACACACUAACCACACUUCCUUGAGGUACCUAAUGGCAAAGAAGGAUGCUAAACGAAGGUUGAUCCGGUGGGUGUUGCUACUUCAGGAAUUUAACUUCGAGGUCAAGGAUCGUAAGGGAAGUGAGAAUUAGGUGGCUGACCACUUAUUCAGACUCAAAGGCGAGCAAGUAGUAAAAGAUGAACUUGGUAUUGAUAAUUCCUUUCCAGAUGAGAAAGUAUUGGCUGCAGUGCUCGAAAAAGUACCUUGGUAUGAUGACUUUGCAAACUACGUGGUAGGUGAGGUAAUGCCAGAGAAUCUUUCCUUCCAUCAGAAGAAAAAGUUUCUCUAUGGUGUAAAACACUAUUUCUGGGAUGAGCCGUAUCUUUUCCAAAGGUGUGCAGAGGGCAUUAUUAGAAGAUGCGUUCCAGAAGUGGAGAUAUUGAGUGUACUGGAAACAACUCAUGCUUCCCCAGUUGGUGGUCAUCAUGCUGGUGAUCGUACUGCCAGAAAAGUUCCUAAAAGUGGUUACUAUUGGCCCAAUUUGUUAAAGGAUGCUUACGAGUUCAUAAAAUGAUGUGACCAAUGUCAAAGACAAGGGUCUAUCUAAAAGUUCCAUGAGAUGCCAAUGUCCAAGAUGUUAGAGGUUGAACUGUUUGAUGUAUGGGGCAUUGAGUUUAUGGGCCCCUUCGUGAGCUUAUUUGGGAUGAAGUAUAUACUAGUUGAUGUUGACUACAUGUCAAAAUGGGUCGAGGCUAUGGAUCUAGAAUAUAAUUAAGGAAAGCGAGCCAUUGCAUUUUUGAGGAGAAAUAUCUCUUAUCGCUUUGGGGUACCACGGACCAUCAUAAGCGAUGGAGGAUCACACUUUUGCAACAAGAUGUUCUGAGCCUUAUUGGCAAAAUAUAGAGUUAAGCAGCAUAUGGUAGCUACACCAUAUCACCCGUAAAUAAGUGGGUAAGUAGAAAUCUCCAAUCGGGAAAUCAAGGCUAUCCCUGCAAGACUGUGAAUGUGAGUAGGAAGGAUUGGUCUAGGAAGAUGGACGAUGCAUUAUGGGCAUAUCGAACAACUUUCAAGGCACCUAUUGGUAUGUCACCAUACCAAUUGGUUUAUGCCAAGGCAUGCCAUUUGCCGAUUGAGCUAGAUCAUAAAGUACUGUGGGCACUAAAGCGUCUUAAUCUGAACUAGAAUGAGGUAGAAAAUAUGAGACUGGUGAUAUGUGUGCAAUUGCAAACACAUUUAAGGCCUUUAAACUAGAAUUAUUGCAAAGUAUUAAGAAACUCUUUUUGUUUUUUUGAUUGUUUUUAUUGUUUUAAUGCAAAUACUAGUGAUCGGGGAGAAAUAAAAGGAAAGAAGAACAAAUAAGUUAGAAUCUGGUGCAGAUAAGCUGAAGUAAAACAGACGACAUUUCUGAAUGUCAAAGUCACCAUUAAGAGUAGAUAGAAUCGGAAGAAUUCAAGUGACAGGUGAUGACCUUUUUGAAGCGCCAUCACAACUUUGAUAAAGCGUCAAAAUUGCUGUCAACUCAAAGCAGAACAUGAUGAUUUCAAAUGAAGAUGUGACAACAUUUUUCAUGUGCCAUCACUUAAUUGACACGCCAUCAGAUUUGCCAUCAGAAGACUCAGAAGAUAAAAAUUCACUAGAAUCUUUGACGAUAUCUUGCACACAUCAUCAGACAUCUGACGCGCUGUCAAGAUCGCCAUCGACUAUUUUGAAGAGAAAACUUAAAUCUUAAUUUGUGUUUCCUUAUUUAGAAUUACCUAGUUACAGACUUUUUUUAGGGAUUUUAAAGAUUUUUUUUUAUCUUUUUGGGAUUUGGAUGAUGCAGAAGCUAUCAGACAAUUAACUCGGAGGUGGCACGUAAAAUUACUUUAUUUUUUUCAUCAGAUAUUUUUCUUGUUUUCUUUUCCAAACACUUAUCAACUAUUGUGGGUUUCCAUCUUGUGAUCGAAUUGAAGAAGUACUUAUUAUCCAUCACUAAGUUUAUCUAUAUUACCAUGAAUUCAACUUGUUAUUUCGUUCAUCAAAUCAUGAGCAACUAAUUCUAUUAGCCCGAGUUAUGGGAUCCAUGGAUUAGGGUUUGAUAUGAUGCUAGGUAUUUAAAGGAUUUAAAGAGUAGUAGGACAUCUUGAAGUUCUGUUACUUUAACUUAAAUCUAUUGGUUGCAAAUAAUAGGUUAUGCCUUAGGCUUAUUUGCUUUUAACAAAGAAAUAAACUAGAGGACGUGAAUUAUCAACAGGGACUCGGAAGCUACCAACCUUUUGUUUAAUGAUGGAUGUCGUAACUGAAUUAAUAUACUUGAGAUAAAAUCCUAUUGGAAAUAGAUAAGUUAUAUAAGUUUGAGAGAAUUAAAUAAUAAAUUGUCUGGUGAGGUCGAGAGAUUAGUCAGAUAGUAUCGUCGUCACGAAUAUUCUGCUGUUUCUACUUACUUCAAGAGUCUUACUUACCUAGUAUCUAUCAAUUCCUAAAACCCAUGGUGAAAAUAACUACGGUCUCCCACUUAUCUUGGUUACAAGUACUAAAAUAUUGAAAGUGACAAUUGACUCUCUGUGAAACUUAAACCCCUAUUUCGGAAAUAGUAAACUACUAGUAAAGUAUUUCGUAAAAAUUCGAAGUUCACACCCUAUUCCCUGUGGGAUUCGACCCCAACCUAGUUGGGUUUUAUAUUGACAAAGAUCGCUUACACCCAUUCAAGAGUGUAGUUUGAGCGUUAUCAAAAAUGGCGCCGUUGCCGGGGAAUACGGUUAUGGACUGAAAGUUUGUGUACAAAAAUUUACUGAUAGUUAAGUUUUCUAGAUUUACGUUCAGUUGUUAUUUUUGUUUAUUUGUAGGAUACUUAUAGAUUAAUCCAAGCACUACUCAAUCCGGAACCCCACUACAUAAGCCGAAUGGUAGAACAACCGCUGCGGUAUGAGGUUGGUGAUGAUGACGAUGUGGAUAGAGAAAGUGCAACGGGUGCGAUCAUUCCCCCUACGUUGGCACCUGGAGCAAAGUUCAAUAUUAUAAGCACUAUGAUCUAACUCCUGAAUCUGAAGGGGUUAUUUGGAGGCCUUCCUGGGGAUGACCCCAACCUGCAUCUGGUAAAUUUUGUCACCAUUUGCAAAUUCCGUGAUAACCUGGGGGUAAGCCAGAGUGCUAUUUGGUUGAGGCUGUUCCCAUUGUCUCUGUCUAGAGAGGCAACAUUAUGGCUAAAUGAGUUGACACCUGACUCUAUAACUAACUGGAGGCAGUUGAGAGGAGCUUUCCUAGAAAUGUUCUUUCCACCGUCCAGAAGGGUACAGUUGAGGGAUGAGAUUAACAACUUUAGACUGCUCCCGAAUGAGGCUUUACAUGAAACUUGGGAGAGGUUCAAGAAGAAGCUGACACAGUGUCCGUACCAUAACAUAAUGGAUAUAUUUGAUGGAGACUUUGUAAAGAGCUUUUAACUCUGUGACAAAUCCAGUGGUAGAUAACGCUGCUGGUGGGUUAUUUGAUGCUCUGUCAUGUCAGAUGCUGCUGAUAUGCUGAUAGGAUGACCAAACUAAGUAGGGCUUAGUACACCAGCGAUUCUGUGGUGGAAAGUCCAACUAUUCCUAUUAGAAUAAAUGAUGAACAAUGCAGAAGAGAUGAGGAGAAGGAUCAAGAUAUGGACCAUCUAAAGACAUAAAUGGACCUGCUCAUGAAACACUUAUCGUCAGGAAGGAUGGAAAGAUAAAGGCUGUAAUUAUUCGGGAUCGGGUUGAUAUGGAUCCUGAAUAAGAAACCAACUAUGUUACUAAUCAGGGGGUUUUCGAGGCAAUAGCCACGUGAAACAAGGUUGGAACGGGUAAGACAAUCCUAAUCCCAAAUACAGGGAGCAAAAAAACUGGAGAAGCAGUAAUGACAGAAGUGGGUUUUAUGUUUGUGCUGGAAAUAAAAAAGCUAGUACAGCUAGAUUGGGAAAGUGGUCUAUGGAGGAUAUGAUAAAAGAACUGUUGAAAGGAGUAGAGGCUACCAACACAGGAGUAACUAGUAUGAGGUGUGAAUUUUCCACUAUGAUUCAGUUGGUUAGUUCACAUUCAACUUCUAUCCAGCAGUUAGAGCAAUAGAUCAGUCAACUUUCCUCAACACUGAACCAGGAAAGAAGUGGUACUUUACUUAAUCAAAUAAUUCAGGAUCAGAAGAUAGAUGGUUCAUGUCUGGCGAUUACCACUAGGAGUGGUAAGAUUUUAUCUGGCCCUUCUUCGGGCAAAUCUUUAAACAAUGAGAAAGUUGUAGAGGAACCAACAAAAGAACACCCAGAGGAGUCUGAGAAGCCGAAUAGCUCAGUUGAUAUAUCGGACAAGGAGAAGAAGAGAAAGUGUUGUUGAAAUGUAUCCCAAGGCCACCACCUCCCUUUUUUCAACGAUUAAGAAAGAAGGUCGACGAUGCAAAAUUCAGCAAAUUCCUAGCAAUGCUCAAGCAAUUGACAAUAAAUGUGCCUUUGAUUAAAUCACUUGAGCAGAUGGUACAUGACCUUGUUACCAAGAAACAAGCAGUGUGUUUCGAACCAAAAGUAGACUUCCACCUUUGCAGCGCUAUUUCUACAAGGACCUUGAUGUAGAAGAAGUCGGAUCCAGGUGCAGUCACCAUUCCCUGCGCAAUUGGAACCAUUGAAUUCGCUAAAGUACUAUGUGAUUUGGGAGCAAGUGUUAACCUAAUGCCACUGACUAUUUAUGAAAAGUUGGGUCUGGGGAAUCCCAUACCUACCAACAUGAGACUGGUGAUGGCAGACAGGUCAGUAAAUUGACAUGUUGGUAUUCUGUAUGACGUGUUGUUAAAGGUCUCAAAUUUAUAUUCCCUGCAGACUUUAUCAUUUUGGACUACGAGGUGGACUUUGAGGUGCCCAUAAUCUUGGGUCGACCAUUCCUCACAACUGGAAGUAUGUUGAUUAAUUUGAGAGCAAAUGAGCUCUUAUUUAGGGUAAAUGAUGAAGUGGUGUGGUUUGAUGUAGGCAAAUUAAUGAAACAACAUGAGGAAAUGAGUGUGUUCUCAGUAGUUGAUGUGUAUUUUGAGGACGAACAGGAUGUGCUCAUAACUAAACAGCUUGUUAUCGAGCCUUUAGCUGCGGUUGUGAUGAACUCUGAUAGUGAAGGCAUUGAGGAGUAUAAAGAGACAGUUUGUGCCCUGACUGGCCUGGGCUUGUAUUCUUAUGCUCCUAAAAAGCUGGACCUUAACAUGGCUAAUCGACUAACACCACCAGCCAAGCCAUCUAUUGAAGAACCUCUGGUGUUGGAAUUGACGGAGCUGCCUGGUCACUUACGAUAUGUGUUUUUAGGAAAAGGGAGAAUGCUACCUGUUAUUAUUGCAACUGAUUUGGAAGAACAACAGGUAAAUGCAUUUAUUUUAGUACUUUAGAGGCAUUAGAGAGCAAUCGGAUGGACCAUCGCAGAUAUUAUUGGCAUUUCACUUGGCAUCUAUACGCAUAAAAUCCAACUAGAAGAAGAUUUUACUCUUACCAUUGAGCAUCAGUGCCGUCUUAACCCACCAAUAUAGGAGGUGGUUAAAAAGGAGAUCAUUAAGUGGUUGGAUGCAGGAGUAGUUUGCCUUAUUUUUGAUAGCAAAUGGGUGAGUCCGGUUUAAUGCAUUCCUAAAAAAGAGGGUAUGAUGGUGGUUGCUAAUGAAAAAACAAGCUGAUUCCAUUCAGACCAGUAACCGGGUGGAGAGUCUAUAUGGAUUACCAUAAUUUAAACUCUUAGACUCUGAAGGACCACAUCCUAAUGCCCUUUAUAGACUAAAUGCUUGAUCGAUUGGCUGGUAGGGGUGGUAUUACUUCUUGGAUGGGUAUUCUGGAUAUAAUAAAAUCUGCAUUGCUCCGAAAGAUCAAGAGAAGGCGACAUUCACAUGCCCAUAUGGUACAUUUGCAUUUAGGAGGAUUCCAUCUGGGCUAUGCAAUGCACCCACCACUUUUCUACGAUUCAUGAUGUCUAUCUUUUGUGACAUGGUGGAAGACACCAUAGAGGUAUUCAUGGAUUAUUUCUCUAUGGUAGGUGAUUCAUUUGAAAUAUGUCUAGAGAAUCUGAAUGUGGCCUUGCAAAGAUGUGUUGAAUUUAAUAUAGUGCUUAAAUACGAAAAAUGUCAUUUUAUGGUGAAGGAGGGUAUCCUGCUUUGGCACAAAAUUUUUGAAAAAGGGAUUGAAGUUGAUCGAGCAAAGGUAGAAGUUAUUGAGAAAUUACCGCCUCCCAUUUCAGUAAAGGGAGUGCAUAGUUUUCUUGGUCAUGCAGGAUUCUAUCAGAGAUUCAUAAAAAACUUCUCAAAAGUUGCAAAUCCACUUUCCAAGCUAUUGGACAAGGAAGUGAAAUUCCUCUUCGAUGACAAAUGCUUGAAGGCAUUUGAGUUCCUUAAAAAGAAGCUGAUUGAGGCCCCUAUUGUUAUUGCACCUGACUGGGGAAAGUCAUUUGAAAUAAUGUGUGAUGCAAGUGGUGUCGCGCUGGGAGCUGUAUUGGGACAGAAGAGAAAUAAAUUGUUUCACCCGAUAUAUUAUGCCAGCAAAGCACUAAAUAGAGCAUAAAAGAAUUACACAGUAACCGAACUGGAACUAUUAGCCGUGGUGUAUGCUUUAAGAAAUUCAGAUCUUAUCUGCUUGGGACUAAAGUGGUAGUCCAUACUGACCAUGCUGCCUUACGGUACUUGAUGGCCAAGAAGGAUGCUAACCAAGGUUUAUUAGAUGGGUGUUGCUACUACAAGAGUUUGAUUUUGAAGUCAAAGAUAGGAACGGUUGUGAAAACCAGGUUGCAGAUCAUUUAUAUAGAAUGGAAGGUGUACAGGAAGCUAAUGAUAAAACAAAGAUAAAUGGUGCAUUUCCCGAUGAGGAGAUCCUGGCAACUGCUGUGGAAAUAUUGCCCUGGUACACGAAUUUAUCAAACUACAUUGUGAGUGAGAUCCUCCCAGAAAAUUUUUCAUUCCACCAAAGGAACAAGUUCUUAUAGGAUGUAACACUACUUCUGGGACGAGCCUUUUCUUUUUUAGCAAUGUUUAGACAAUAUCAUACGGAGAUGCAUGCAUGAAGUGGAUGUACUGUGCAUACUUGAAGCAUGUCAUGCUUCCCCAGUUGGGGGGUCACUAUGCAGGUGACCGAACGGAUAGGAAGGUGUUGCAGAGUGGCUAUUAUUGGCCAACAUUGUUUAAAGAUACCCACGAGUUUGUGUAGAAAUGUGACCAAUGUCAGAGGUAGGGGUCCAUAUCUAAAAGGCAUAAAAUUCCCUUGACUAAGAUGCUUGAAGUGGAAUUAUUUGAUGUCUAGGGCAUUGACUUCAUAGAUUCGUUUGUAAGUUCUUAUGGAAUGAAGUAUAUUUUUGUUGCUGUUGGCUAUGUUUCUAAAUGGGUCAAAACUGUAGCUUUGGCUGACAAUGAGGGAAAGNNNNNNNNNNNNNNNNNNNNNNNNNNNNNNNNNNNNNNNUGGGGUACCACAUACUAUCAUCAGCGAUGGAGGAUCUCACUUUUGCAAAAAAAUAUUUCGAGCAUCUUUGGAGAAAUAUGGAGUGAAAUAACACAGAGUGGAUACUCCGUAGCACCCUUAAACCAGUGGGCAAGUAGAGGUGUCGAAUCGUGAAGUUAACUCCAUCCUAUCCAAGACGAUGACUGCUAGCAGAAAAGACUGGUCCCAAAAACUUGAUGAUGCCUUAUGGGCAUACCAAACUGCUUUUAAGACACCUAUUGGCAUAUCACCAUUUCAGUUGGUCUAUAGAAAGGCGUGCCAUUUGCCAAUAGAGCUGGAACACGAAGCUUUAUGGGUGCUCAAGAGGUUGAAUUUAAAUUGGAAGAAAGCAGCAGAGAUAAGACUAGGGCAACUGAAUGAGAUGGAUGAAUUCCGUCUCAGGGCAUAUGAACGAGUAGAUUUGUAUAUAGAGAAGCUGAAAAAGUACCAUGACUGGAAAAUAGAGAAAUAAGAGUUCAAAAAAGGAGACUUGGUGUUUCUGUUUAAUUCCAGACUCAAAUUGUUCCCAGGGAAGCUGAAAUCUAAGUGGUCAGUUCCUUUUAAGGUAAGUCAAGUCCACUCAUCUGGAGUAGUGGAGCUCGAAAACGAAGAUGUUAGUACAUUUAAGGUAAAUGGAAAACGGGUUAAGCUUUACAUUGGCCUAGAAGAAUCUAUGAAAAACAUCACUAUUAUUUGUCUUAAUGAAGUUUGAGGUAAUUGAGACACCUGAGUCAUUCCGCGACAUUAAAUCAAGCGCUGUGUGAGAGAAAACCCAUGAUCCCUGAGAACAAACCAGUCCAGGUAUACCCUAACUCUUAAGCUAGUUUUUGCUUUAGUUCUAAGUUGAAUGUGGCUGGUACUCUGCUAUUGUAACAUAGUUUUUGGUUAAAAAAAAGGGCGGUGACAUGUCUUGCUCAAUGUUUAACCAUCCUUCCAAUAUCUUGCUUGAUAAACUGUGUGAAGUACAUUUACUUGUGACCAUUUUGAAUCUUGUUGUGGCAUUAAUUAUAGCUGCUUGAUGAUCAUUACUGAACAAUUGCAUGAACUAGAUAAGUAGUGAUAUGUGAUAUACUUGUGUGCCAGGUGUGUGCGAGCUAUUACUUGUUUUCCUCUGUAUGCUAAAGCCAGAACUUUCCUAGUUAGUCUUUCCAUGGUCUUAGUAUAGGGGUUAGGACAGGAUCAUAGGCCGUCAUUGAUUAACUCACUUUUAGCCUAAAUAUCCUUCUCUGUAUGCAUAACACCCUUUUGCUCCCUAUUUAGAGCCUAGCUUGACCAUUUCUUUUGCAUGACAUCUUUCACCUUCCCAUUUAUACCAUAAUAAACAUAUAUAACCCUAGGCUUACUUGGACAUUGAGCACUUUGAUCUAGGCAAAUAGCCUAAGUUAAAGGUGGCUAUCAUAGGUGUGCAUGGUGUAUGAUGAGAAGUAUGAAGAUGAACUAAAGAUGGGUUCUAAUAAUGCAAGAUAAAAAUAGAAGAGAAGAGAAGAGAAGAGAAGAGAGAGUUGUUGCAUCACCCAACUUGAAUAUGGAUAAUCAAGAGAAGAAGAAAAAUGAAAGAGGAUAAUUAGUGAGUCUAAGAAAGAAGUGUAGUGUCAAGGAGGCAUAGUCACUCUAAAUAACCUUGAAUUUCAUACCAGCCUCAAACCACAUUACAAGCCUAAAAGAAGUCCUAUAGUGAUCCUGACUGGCCUAUCUGAGGUCUAGUAACGAAAAUAAGGGCAAGCCUAUGGUACUUAGCAUACAUUGGUUGAAACUUUCUUGUGAGAGUGAAAGUCUGGUGAUAACCCCCAAUUUGUAUGGUUGGAUCUCUAGUAUGAGGAGAGGGGGAUUUCUUUGUUGCGAGGGCACACGGGUAUCGUCACUAGCUACUCGCUUGUUUAGACAAUGUGGUAUUGAUAUGUGAAUGGUUAUUGUGGCCAAGGUUGAUGCUGCCGCUUAAUUCCUUUGUGUUACAGUACUGUUUUCAAUGAUAUGCACAUUGGUUUGGCAUUGAAAGGAUAACUUUGUGUUGAGCUAUGUGUGCUAAAUAUGCUAUGUGUUUUCUUAAUUAGAUGUAGUUACUUGAGGACAAGCAAUUACUUUAAGUUGAGGGUGUUGAUGUGUGCGCAAUUGCGGACACAUUUAAGGCCUUUAACCUAGAAUAAUUGCAAAGUCUUAAGCAAAUUUUGUUAUUUUUUUGAUUGUUUUAUUGUUUUAAUGUAGAUACUAGUGAUUGGGGAGAAAUAAA